rnacentral:rRNA from 1 species
AGCAGCCGCGGUAAUUCCAGCUCCAAUAGCGUAUAUUAAAGUUGUUGCAGUUAAAAAGCUCGUAGUUGAAUUUCGGGAUCAAUAUUUCGGUCAUGCCGUUGGUAUGCACUGUUAUCAUUGAUUUCUCACCUUCUAAAGAACCGUAAUGCCAUUAAUUUGGUGUUACGGGGAAUUAGGACUGUUACCUUGAAAAAUUAGAGUGUUUAAAGCAGGCUCACGCUUGAAUACAUUAGCAUGGAAUAAUGAAAUAGGACAUCCGAUUCUAUUUUGUUGGUUUCUAGGAUCGAUGUAAUGAUUAAUAGGGAUAGUUGGGGGCAUUAGUAUUCAAUUGUCAGAGGUGAAAUUCUUGGAUUUAUUGAAGACUAACUACUGCGAAAGCAUUUGCCAAGGAUGUUUUCAUUAAUCAAGAACGAAAGUUAGGGGAUCGAAGACGAUCAGAUACCGUCGUAGUCUUAACCAUAAACUAUGCCGACUAGGGAUCGGAUGAUGUUAAUUUUUAAUGACUCAGUUCGGUACG